GACGAACGCUGGCGGCGUGGAUUAGGCAUGCAAGUCGAACGGUAUCAUCCUUUCGGGGGUGAGAGAGUGGCGAACUGGUGAGUAACACGUAGGUUAUCUACCCUCAAGACGGGGACAACCCAGGGAAACUUGGGCUAAUACCGGAUGUGAGCAACUUUUAGUUGUUUGAAAGGUGGCGUAAGCUGUCGCUUGGGGAUGAGCCUGCGUCCUAUUAGUUAGUUGGUGAGGUAACGGCUCACCUAGGCAAUGAUAGGUAGGCGGCCUUAACGGGUGGUCGCCCACACUGGGAUUGAGAUACGGCCCAGACUCCUACGGGAGGCAGCAGUCGAGAAUAGUCUACAAUGGUCGGAAGACUGAUAGUGCGACGCCGCGUGAACGAUGAAUCCCUUCGGGGUGUAAAGUCCUUUUAUAUGUGAGCAGUGCUUCUUAUAUUAACAGUAUGGGGAGAGAGAUAUUAGCAUAUGAAUAAGCAACGGCUAACUCGUGCCAGCAGCCGCGGU
rnacentral:rRNA from 1 species